GCAUAAAAACUCAAGAUUCACAACUCAAGAUAGAUGAGCUGGUGACUGAUGCACAUCCACAAAUUGCUAAACUAAUGAGGACUAGGUAUGCAUCAAUCAAGCACUCCUUCGAUAUGUGGCAUGGGGCCAAAAAUCUUGCUAAACGAAUUAACAAGGCUGGACUGCAGCGUGGCUGCAGAAUUCUGUGUCAGUGGACCAGGCAAAU